rnacentral:rRNA from 1 species
GAUGAACGCUGGCGGCGUGCCUAAUACAUGCAAGUCGAGCGAACAGACGAGGAGCUUGUUCCUCUGACGUUUGCGGAGGACGGGUGAGUAACACGUGUAUCCUCUACUUAUAAGACUGGGAUAACUUCGGGAAACCGGAGCUAAUACCGGAUAAUAUAUUGCACCGCAUGGUUCAAUAGUGAAAGACGGUUUUGCUGUCACUUCUAGAUGGAUCCGCGCCGCAUUAGCUAGUUGGUAAGGUAACGGCUUACCAAGGCAACGCUGCGUAGCCGACGUGAGAGAGUGAUCGGCCACACUGGAACUGAGACAGGGUCCAGACUCCUACGGUAGGCAGCAGUAGGCAAUCUUACGCAAUGGGCGAAAGCUUUACGGAGCAACGCCGCGUGAGUUAUGAAGGUCUUCGGUGCGUAAAACCCUGUUAUUGGUGAAGAACAAAUUUGUAAGUAACUAUGCACGUCUUGACGGUACCUAAUCAGAAAGCCACGGCUAACUACGUG